AUUGAACGCUGGCGGCAGGCCUAACACAUGCAAGUCGAACGGUAACAGGAAGCAGAUUGCUGCUUUGCUGACGAGUGGCGGACGGGUGCGUAAUGUCUGGGAAACUGCCCGAUGGAGGGGGAUAACUACUGGAAACGGUAGCUAAUACCGCAUAACGUCGCAAGACAAAAGAGGGGGACCUUAGGGCCUCUUGCCAUCGGAUGUGCCCAGAUGGGAUUAGUUCGUAGGUGGGGUAACGGCUCACCUAGGCGACGAACCCUAGCUGGUCUGAGAGGAUGACCAGCCACACUGGAACUGGGACACGGUCCAGACUCCUACGGGAGGCAGCAGUGGGGAAUAUUGCACAAUGGGCGCAAGCCUGAUGCAGCCAUGCCGCGUGUAUGAAGAAGGCCUUCGGGUUGUAAAGUACUUUCAGCGGGGAGGAAGUGAGUAAAGUUAAUACCGUUGCUCAUUGACGUUACCCGCAGAAGAAGCACCGGCUAACUCCGUG
rnacentral:rRNA from 1 species